AAAAAGAUGCGCCAAGUUUUUUUUUUCUUCUUCUUUUCAUUUCAUUUGUUAUUUUAUUUAGUUUUGGGAAAUUUAGUAUUUCUUUUAACUUCUGGUUUGGGUGGACCUGGGCCUUGAAAACCAGAAACAUAUUGGAGCCCGUAUAGAAAAGCCAUCCUCUUUCUCGUGUCGUUUACAGAGUCACAGGGUCGCACAGAGAGAGAGAGAGAGAGAGAGAGAGAGAGAGAGAUGGCGGUGCUGAACUACGUGAGGCAAUGGAGGAGCUUAGCGAAGGAGGCACUGGAUCGAACGGCGAUUGUAGCGAAGUUCCUCUGCUUCCUCCACGUCACCAACACCUACCUCUGCUCUUCUACCCUCGUGUAUGGGCCUAGUAUGCUCCCAACUUUGAAUAUCACCGGCGACGUGGUUCUCGCCGAACACGUGUCUCAUCGUUUCGGGAAGGUGGGUCCGGGAGAUUUGGUGCUGGUUCGUUCCCCUGAUGACCCUAGGAAGACCGUCACCAAGCGAAUUGUGGGCGUGGAGGGUGAUAAGGUCACCUUCUUAGUCCCCAUGUCCACCCAUCAAUAUCGAACUGCCGUGGUUCCUAAGGGGCAUGUUUGGAUUCAGGGGGAUAAUACAUAUGUCUCCAAUGAUUCAAGGAAUUUCGGGCCUGUACCCUAUGGGCUUAUCCAAGGAAAAGUGUUUUUCAGGGUAUGGCCUCCUGAUAGCAUUGGAUUUCUGGGUCAAUGAUCAAAAGGUAUUAUAUUAUAUCCUCAUGGUCUAUUAUGGGCAUUGCAUCACUUGAGUUCUCCAGGCAAGCCAUGAUUUUUGUUUCCCCGUCAGCUUUCAUAUAAAGGAAAAUUUAUAGUUUCUUUCAAGGAAUUCUAUAGCAGCAUUAAGAUAACUGAAGGUCUGAGGAACAGCAAUUUAUUUGAUAGUGGAUACCAGAACAAGUUGUAAAAAACAAGGUAUUAGUGCAUUAUGGGACUUGCCUUGGUAAAGUGUUGACCAUAUAGGAGAUUUUUUUAUUCUUAUAUUUGCCUCUUAAAAUACCAAAUGUUUCUCAUUUCCCUUUGACUUAUUUGAUCUUGGAGGGGAUACGAAUGAGUGCACUUUCACCAGCUUAGAAUGGGGUUUUGAUGGAUUGGAAAUGGUUUAUCCUUUUACCUUUGGGGAGGUUGUGCAUUGAAUCCUCUUAUACAUGUCUUACACUCAGCUUGAUCCUUUACAAAAAAGGAUGCACUUACUCUCUUUUUUAUAUAUAUUUUUAAAAUUUAAAAUUUUGAUUUUAUUAUUGUUUGGAAGAAUAUGCUCACUUGAUGUAGUUGUUUUAUUAUGAUCACUUGGUUUGGUGGUCUUAAUGUUUUGAUCCAGUUUUGUAUUUGUCUCAUGUGGUGGUGCAAAAAUUUUGUUAUUGUGCAUUUGGGACCAUAAUGAAAUCACAUUAUUUUUAAGGUCUCACAAAAAUAGUCUUAUGAAAGUUAAUUAGGUGCUUGAAAAUGAGAUUGAAUUAUAUUUUCUAGGAAAUUAAAAUAACAUGAAUUAUAAUAUAACCUAACAAUGAUUUUAAAGUAAAUCAAUAAUAAAAUGGGAAAAAAGAAAUUCAAGUUUCCCUAAUACCAAGCUAGGCCAUAUAUAUUCUCAAGGAAAAAUUACAGGAUUAAAAUGAUUUGUUAUAUUCACACUUUUAGUGGAUCAGCCAAAAAGAAAAAUGAAAUUAAAAAUAAAAUAAAAUAAAACAAAGCGAGUGAUUUCCUAAAUCCAAAAAUAUUUUGAUUAGAAUUGUGUGUUCAUGCUGAUUUCAUGGAUAGUUGAUAAAAACAGGGGGUGAAACCUUGUGACUGCCUGACUGGGCCUUUUGGACAAAUGAAGAUGAGUCCAAUCUUACAACCCAAAGUCUCAACCGGCAUGUUGUAAUUUGAUUAAAAGAGGAAGGGCAAAGUAGACAUUGCAGUGAAAAGAAUCCAGGCUAUAAAUAAGAGUGAAAUGUAGGGUUUGUAAUUUUAAGUGCCUUCGAGAGAACAGAGCGUGACGAUGAUGGCGCUGAUGUUCCGUUGUGGGCAAACAUCGACAUUUCCAAUGAUUCCUUUCUUUCAAUGUUCGUCUAUGCAGUUAUAGUGGCUUAGAUGAAUAGAAAGGUUUUUGUACAUGUCAAA